AAGGAGACUGCCGGUGACAAACCGGAGGAAGGUGGGGAUGACGUCAAGUCAUCAUGGCCCUUACGGCCAGGGCUACACACGUGCUACAAUGGUCGGUACAAAGGGUUGCCAAGCCGCGAGGUGGAGCUAAUCCCAUAAAACCGAUCGUAGUCCGGAUCGCAGUCUGCAACUCGACUGCGUGAAGUCGGAAUCGCUAGUAAUCGUGAAUCAGAAUGUCACGGUGAAUACGUUCCCGGGCCUUGUACACACCGCCCGUCACACCAUGGGAGUGGGUUGCUCCAGAAGUAGCUAGUCUAACCGCAAGGGGGACGGUUACCACGGAGUGAUUCAUGACUGGGGUGAAGUCGUAACAAGGUAGCCGU
rnacentral:rRNA from 1 species